rnacentral:siRNA from 1 species
CACAUGUCCGGACAGCUGCCGC